UUCCACAGCGACACUCGAUGACGUAGAGAUUUUGUGUGGCUAGUUGUUUGGUCAAGCAACAGACAGAUUUAUUUCAGCCUUUGAUACUUAGCUAGCUAGUUUAAAACUCGACGUUUUCAUCUACAUUGAAUUCUAUAUGUAACCAUUUGCUAGGUUUCUCUACGAACAUUGCAUUGAAUCAUUUAAAUGUUAUCUCGAAAUUGAUUGAAUUUCAUUACAUAAUCUAGUUUACGAGCAGAAUCGGAUUCCUAGCGCCGAGUCGACUGAAUUCAACGUAAAUUACGAUGCACACCAAGAAGACCGACGGGAAGGAUUCACAUGUUCAAAUGGCCCAGGCCCCUCUGACUGAAGGGUUAAGUUUGAUCUUUGAUCAGGAUGCCCAAUCCAGCUCUUCCCGUUCUCGUCACCCAUCUAGAAGUAGUCAUACCAGUAGCCAGUCCUCUGGCUCGAGACGACAACUUAAGCGAAAUAAUGCUCGUAGGGGACGUCACAGGUCCUCCACCAGUUCUUCGUCCUCCAGAUCAUCCCACUCAUCCAACAGCAGCCCUCGGACCCGUCCCAGGUCCCGGUCACACCCGCGCUGCCACAGAGCCUCCUCCAGCUCACGCUGCUGCCGUCAACAUCAACAGGCACAUGGACAUAGGCGCCACCGCUCACCAUCACGCUGUUACAGGGCCCACUCGCGCUCCUACAGCCCUUCCUCUUCCCCAGACAGGCCAAACCGCCACAGUUCCCGCUCCAGGUCAGGCUGGAGCAGGGUUCAUAGGGGGUUUGUGGGCAGGGACAAGUGCAGGUUUUCUGGAUCACCCAACAGAAGCCACAAGACCUACACGAGCCGCUCCACAUCUUCAGGACGCUCAUUUGUCAGCCUCCGUAUAGAAAAAAAGGGGGAACUCAGGACUACGAAUGCCACCCAGGCACUGGGGAUGGAGCAACUGGACCUUCCUGAAAGUGUGACGCCCAUCCUGGAGGAGCAGCAACUGAAAACCGGACGAGCCACACCAGAACCAGAGGAACGGGUGAGACCAGAGCCACUCCCUCAAAAGAGUCUAUCACAGGUGGGUGUUCAGGGAGAUUUGAUCAUGUUGAACAUACCGUCUAUGAACAUGACACACACAGAAGAAGCCUAGCAAUUGAAAUUGCUCAAAGUUCAGUUGUUGACGUCAUAACCGCACCACCUAGGCCAUUUUAAAACACAGUCUGGAGAUCUUUCCCUACCAUGUAGUCUGAACUUCAGGACUUCUGAUUCUGUCUUCUGUGAAACUGCUUGUCUGUUAACCUUGCACCUGUCAGAGAACACACUUGCUCUGUUUGUAUUUAUUCCUGUUUUUGUAGAUCUCAUGAGUUGUCUUCUCUCCACGGCCCCUCGGAUUAGGAGAAUAAGAGGGCAGUCAUGUGACUUGGGUGAUGUCAUUGCGUUUGCGUGAAAAGGUUAUCUGAUUAAUCUUAUCAUGCUCACAAUGCCAAUGCAAGUCCAGUAGCAGGAAUGGAUUGUUUUGUCCAGCAAUGUUGAAAUGGGAACAUUGUUAUUUAGCAGAGUCUCCCUCCUACUCUCUGAAGAAGUGCAGGCGUUUGGACUGCAUUAUUGUGACUAUUCCUGACGAGAACUUUAAACAGAUGGCCAACUCCCUCCGUCCGUAUGCCAAAGAUAAGUUGGUAAUACACAAGUGGUGAUCUGAAUGGUGUUUGGAAAACUGCACCAUCAUGCCACUCAAAGGAUUUUUCUUUCUAUAGUGUUUUGUUUGUUAAAGCUACCCUUGUAAAAAUCACAUAAUGAACAGAUGCCUAGCUUUGACAUCAAUGAAGCAAGGGGUGCAUGGGAACUGCAGUUUGUUGAAACUAUAGACAAGUGAGCUAUUGCUCAUCUAGGAGAAUGUAUUUGUGUUGAUGGGAAGACCUGAAAUCAGCUGAUCUGAUUUUUACUCGACUGUUUUCUCUUUGCAGCAGAACAGUGACAUAGAGCCUGAGGAUGCACCAAGCCCUAAUAUAUCUCCCAAGAAAAAGAUGAUCUCAUUCAGUAUUC